rnacentral:rRNA from 1 species
UUACAGAGUUCGCGCCCCUCGCGGGUAGAUCUCCCACCCUGUGUUAUCGCUACCGCGUUGCUUUGGCGGGCCGUCGGGCUCGACCCCGCCGCUGGCUCCGGUCGGCGCGCGCCCGCCAGAGACCCCCCAUCCUGAAUAUACGUAUCGUCUGAGUACUAUAUAAUAGUUAAAACUUUCAACAACGGAUCUCUUGGUUCUGGCAUCGAUGAAGAACGCAGCGAAAUGCGAUAAGUAAUGCGAAUUGCAGAAUUCAGUGAGUCAUCGAAUCUUUGAACGCACAUUGCGCCCUGUGGUAUUCCGCAGGGCAUGCCUGUUCGAGCGUCAUUUCAACCCUCAAGCCUUGCUUGGUGUUGGGCCCCGCCCGCUGCGGCCGGCCCUAAUGUCAGUGGCGGCACCGUACGGUCCUAAGCGUAGUAAUACUCUCGCUCCAGGGCCCUGCGGCCGCGCGCCAGAACCCCAACUCUUAUGGUUGACCUCGGAUCAGGUAGGGAUACCCGCUGAACUUAAGCAUAUCAAUAAGCGGAGGAA